rnacentral:rRNA from 1 species
GGACAAGAAUAAUCUCGGGAAACUGGGCAUAAUUCUUGAUAGAUCAUAAUGCCUGGAAUGGUUAUGGUUAAAAUGAUUCGUCGCCAUAGGAUGGGACUGCGGCCUAUCAGCUUGUUGGUGAGGUAAUGGCCCACCAAGGCGAUUACAGGUACGGGCUCUGAGAGGAGAAGCCCGGAGAUGGGUACUGAGACACGGACCCAGGCCCUAUGGGGCGCAGCAGGCGAGAAAACUUUGCAAUGUGCGAAAGCACGACAAGGUUAAUCCGAGUGAUUUCUGCUAAAGAAAUCUUUUGCCAGUCAUAAAACCACUGGUGAAUAAGGGGUGGGCAAGUUCUGGUGUCAGCCGCCGCGGUAAAACCAGCACCUCAAGUGGUCAGGAUGAUUAUUGGGCCUAAAGCAUCCGUAGCCGGCUUUGUAAGUUUUCGGUUAAAUCCAUGUGCUCAACGCAUGGGCUGCCGAAAAUACUGCAUGGCUAGGGAGUGGGAGAGGUAGACGGUACUCAGUAGGAAGGGGUAAAAUCCUUUGAUCUAUUGAUGACCACCUGUGGCGAAGGCGGUCUACCAGAACACGUUCGACGGUGAGGGAUGAAAGCUGGGGGAGCAAACCGGAUUAGAUACCCGGGUAGUCCCAGCUGUAAACGAUGCAGACUCGAUGAUGCAUUGGCAUAAUAGCCAGUGCAGUGUCGCAGGGAAGCCGUUAAGUCUGCCGCCUGGGAAGUACGUACGCAAGUAUGAAACUUAAAGGAAUUGGCGGGGGAGCACCACAAGGGGUGAAGCCUGCGGUUCAAU